GACGAACGCUGGCGGUGUGCUUAACACAUGCAAGUCGAACGGUAAGGCCCUUUCGGGGGUACACGAGUGGCGAACGGGUGAGUAACACGUGAGUAACCUGCCCUCAUCUCUGGGAUAACAGUCGGAAACGGUUGCUAAUACUGGAUAUGAGCUUGCAAGGCAUCUUGUGGGUUGGAAAGAUAUUUUUUGGUUGGGGAUGGACUCGCGGCCUAUCAGCUUGUUGGUGAGGUAGUGGCUCACCAAGGCUUCGACGGGUAGCCGGCCUGAGAGGGCGACCGGCCACAUUGGGACUGAGAUACGGCCCAGACUCCUACGGGAGGCAGCAGUGGGGAAUAUUGCACAAUGGACGGAAGUCUGAUGCAGCAACGCCGCGUGCGGGAUGACGGCCUUCAGGUGUAAACCGCUUUCAAUU
rnacentral:rRNA from 2 species